rnacentral:lncRNA from 1 species
AAAGACCUCAUACUGGAGAGAAACACUUUGAGUGUAACCAGUGUGAUAAAGGCUUUUCACAAAACAGUAAUAUCCAAAUACAUAAAAAUGAAAAUAUUGUGGAGAAACCCUAUUAGUGUAACCAAUGUAGUAAAGCCUUUACAUAUCAUGGUCAUCUUUGAAUACAUAAAAAAAACAUACUGCAGAGAAACCCUAUGAAUGUAGUCAAUGUUGUAAAGCCUUUGCAUGUCAGUAAUUUUCAAAGGCCUGAAAGAACCCACAAUGUGAGUGUAUUUAGUAUGGUGAAGGCUUUGCUCAUUUCUAUAGCCUUCAUCAUCAUGAAAGAAUCCAUAUUGGAGAGAAACCCUGUGAACGUAUUUAAUGUGCUAAAGCCUUUUCACAGUUCAUUAGUCCUGAUAAUCAUGAAAUAAUUCAUACCAGAGAGAAACCUUAUGAAUAUAUUUAAUAUGGCAAAGCCUUUCGUGAAAGCAUUCAUACUGGAGAGAAAUUCUGUGAGUGUAAGCAAUGUGGUAAAGCCUUUGUGUUAUGGGGUUCUCUGAGAUCAACAAAACUCAAACUCAGGUAAUGCAAGUGAUAAGAACUUAUACAAUCAAGCUGCUACGGAUGGAUCAGGGUCAGAGAACAUACUUGGAAACUGAGCUGUCACAUGUUGCCCAUC